UUGCUGCAGCAGCAGCAGCAGCAGCAGCUACUGCUGCUGCUGCUGCUGCUGCAGCUACUGCUGCAGUUACUGCUGCUGUUGCUGUAGCUGCUGCUGGAGCUACUGCUGCAGCAGCAGCAGCAGCUGCUGCUGCUACUGCUGUCGCAGCAGUUGCCGCUGCUGCUGCUGCUGCUGCUUCAGCAGCUGCGGCAGCAACAGGUGCAGCAGUUUCUGAUGCUCCUAUCACUGCUGCUGCUGCUGCUGCUGCUGCUG
rnacentral:sRNA from 1 species